AAGAAUUUAAGUUAAAAAAACUAAUAGCCUUCAAAGCUUUAAUUGAUCUUUAAAUCAAUUCUUACCA
rnacentral:tRNA from 1 species